rnacentral:rRNA from 1 species
AUGAACGCUGGCGGCGUGCUUAACACAUGCAAGUCGAACGAUGACCCCCAGCUUGCUGGGGUGAUUAGUGGCGAACGGGUGAGUAACACGUGAGUAACCUGCCCCUGACUCUGGGAUAAGCCCGGGAAACUGGGUCUAAUACUGGAUAUGCACCGUAAGCCGCAUGGCUUUUGGUGGAAAGAUUUUUUGGUCAGGGAUGGACUCGCGGCCUAUCAGCUUGUUGGUGAGGUAAUGGCUCACCAAGGCGACGACGGGUAGCCG